UACGUAGGUGACAAGCGUUAUCCGGAAUUACUGGGCGUAAAGCGCACGCAGGCGGCGCGGUAAGUCUGAUGUGAAAUCUCCCGGCUUAACUGGGAGGGGUCAUUGGAAACUGCCGAGCUUGAGGCGAUGAGAGGGGUGUAGAAUUCCCGGUGUAGUGGUGGAAUGCGUAGAUAUCGGGAGGAAUACCAGUGGCGAAGGCGACUACCUGGCCUGUUUCUUGACGCUGAGGCGCGAAAGCUAGGGGAGCAAACGGG
rnacentral:rRNA from 1 species